rnacentral:tRNA from 2 species
GCUCCUGUAGCCCAAUUGGCAGAGGCGACCGUUUUAAAAACGGUCAGUUGUGGGUUCGACUCCCACCAGGAGUACUA